AAUACAUAUAAUUCAAUUGAUGAUGUCGAAAUAUUUAGAAUAUUAUUGAAAGUGACAGCAUUUUUUCAGCGAUAAGAGAAGCAGAAACUGAGGUCAGUGAAGAUCAGCUGCACUUUAAUGGGCCUGAAGAAUACAUGUUUGCUGUGGGGCUUUGACAUGUGGUAGCUGAAAGUUGCUCACAGGGAGAGUAGAGCUGGUCUCUUCUCACUAGUGACAGCUGGAAGAAAUCUAUCAAAAUGUCUCUGAUGGAGAAAUGAUGAAGCAAUGAGCAAGUUUACAAACGGUUCUUAUUUGACAGCUGCCAUACUCACACUGGAGGAUGAAUAGGAAGCAGACCCGGCAGCAACAGCUCCUUGAGUGCUGUGAUCAAACAGGGCCAUCUACAACAAGGAGACUGAAAUCCCACCUUUUGUUCAUAGUGUGCUCUUGAAAUAAACAGAGAACAUAAAAACCAGUGUAACUGCAAACAACAGUGCUUCUGUAUGGC